CGUCAAGUCAGCAUGGCCCUUACGCCUGGGGCGACACACACGCUACAAUGGACCGGACAAUGCGUCGCCAGACCGCAAGGUUGCGCAAAUCGCCAAACCGGUCCCCAGUUCAGAUCGGGGGCUGCAACUCGCCCCCGUGAAGGCGGAGUUGCUAGUAACCGCGUAUCAGCCAUGGCGCGGUGAAUGCGUUCCCGGGCCUU
rnacentral:rRNA from 1 species